CAGUAGUCACGAGUUUGAUCCUGGCUCAGAUUGAACGCUGGCGGCAGGCCUAACACAUGCAAGUCGAACGAGACCUUCGGGUCUAGUGGCGCACGGGUGCGUAACGCGUGGGAACCUGCCUUUAGGUUCGGAAUAACUCAGAGAAAUUUGAGCUAAUACCGGAUAAUGUCUUCGGACCAAAGAUUUAUCGCCUUUAGAUGGGCCCGCGUUGGAUUAGCUAGUUGGUGGGGUAAAGGCCUACCAAGGCGACGAUCCAUAGCUGGUCUGAGAGGAUGAUCAGCCACACUGGGACUGAGACACGGCCCAGACUCCUACGGGAGGCAACAGUGGGGAAUAUUGGACAAUGGGCGAAAGCCUGAUCCAGCAAUGCCGCGUGAGUGAUGAGGGCCUUAGGGUUGUAAAGCUCUUUUACCCGAGAUGAUAAUGACAGUAUCGGGAGAAUAAGCUCCGGCUAACUCCGUG
rnacentral:rRNA from 1 species